UAUCAAGUUGGUUUGUAGAAUUGGUCAUUGGAGCAUAUUGUUCUAAAGAUAAGUAAGCAAUCCCGAUGGCUACAAAUUGGCUUAACAGUGUACUCAGACACAAAAAGCCUGACUCUUCGAAACAAGAAAUGGAAAAACCUGUGGAGGACCAAUCUCGCGAUGAGAAAGGUGCGGACAAAGUUAAGGAUGGAACGAAAGGUAU